AUUGAACGCUGGCGGAAUGCUUUACACAUGCAAGUCGAACGGCAGCACGGGGGCAACCCUGGUGGCGAGUGGCGAACGGGUGAGUAAUACAUCGGAACGUGCCCAGUCGUGGGGGAUAACGUAGCGAAAGUUACGCUAAUACCGCAUACGAUCUACGGAUGAAAGCGGGGGACCGUAAGGCCUCGCGCGAUUGGAGCGGCCGAAGUCAGACUAGGUAGUUGGUGAGGUAAAGGCUCACCAAGCCGACGAUCUGUAGCUGUUCUGAGAGGACGGCCAGCCACACUGGGACUGAGACACGGCCCAGACUCCUACGGGAGGCAGCAGUGGGGAAUUUUGGACAAUGGGCGCAAGCCUGAUCCAGCCAUUCCGCGUGCAGGACGAAGGCCUUCGGGUUGUAAACUGCUUUUGUACGGAACGAAAAGGCUCUGGUUAAUACCUGGGGCUCAUGACGGUACCGUAAGAAUAAGCACCGGCUAACUACGUGCCAGCCGCCGCCGUAA
rnacentral:rRNA from 1 species